rnacentral:rRNA from 1 species
UAAUACAUGCAAGUCGAAUGCAUUGUGGUUGAAAUGAUAUGAAGAACUUGUUCAGAUUUGAUUUUCAACAUUGCAAUGAGUGGCGAACGGGUGAGUAACACGUGGGAAACCUACCUCUUAGCAGGGGAUAACAUUUGGAAACAAAUGCUAAUACCGUAUAAUAAUUAAAACCGCAUGGUUUUAGUUUAAAAGAUGGUCUUGCUAUCACUAAGAGAUGGUCCCGCGGUGUAUUAGUUAGUUGGUGAGGUAAUGGCUCACCAAGACAAUGGAUACAUAGCCGAGUUGAGAGACUGACCGGCCACAAUGGGACUGAGACACGGCCCAUACUCCUACGGGAGGCAGCAGUAGGGAAUCUUCCACAAUGGACGAAAGUCUGAUGGAGCAACGCCGCGUGUGUGAUGAAGGGUUUCGGCUCGUAAACACUGUUGUAAGAGAAGAAUGACAUUGAGAGUAACUGUUCAAUGUGUGACGGUAUCUUACCAGAAAGGAACGGCUAAAUGCGUG